AUUUUUCCAGAUCUGCUUUCUGGAGAGGAAGAAUAAUGAGAGGAAGGCUGACAAGGAAUGAGGCAGAAGGAUGGUGAAAGCUAAGAUUUGGAUCACAGCCAAUGAUAACAGUCUCUUUCAUCUGCACGGGAUUUUACAGUUUCUUGAGCAUUUUCGUUAUACUAAAACAGACAGUUUCCAGAGCAAUAGAAAAGCCAACAUAUCUUUAACCAUUAAAACUGCAACAACUAGCGGGUCGUGGUGGCUCACAUCUGUAAUCCCAGCACUUUCGGAGGCUGAAGUGGGUGGAUCACGAGGUCAGGAGAUUGAGAUCAUCUUGGCCAACAUGGUGAAACCCCAUCUCUACUAAAAAUACAAAAAUUAGCCGGGCAUGGUGGCAGGCACCUGUAAUCCCAGUAACUCAGGAGGCUGAGGCAGGAGAAGAAUCGCUUGAACCUGGGAGGCAGAGGUUGCAGUGAGCUGGGGAUCACGCCACUGCACUCCAGCCUGGGUGACUGAGCAAGACUUAAUCUCAAAAACGAAUGAAACAAAAACUGCAACAACCUGUUUUACAGAGAAAAGUGAGGAUUUCUGCAAAAGAUAAGUAAGCCGUGUAAGGUCACCUAGUUAAUGUCAGUAUGUUAGUGGAUCAGGAAUUUUGGGAGAUGUUUCUGACUUAAAAACCUGAUCCCUUUCCAAAAGUAAAUUCACAGUUGCAGUUUAGAAGAAAAUAGAAAACAAAAAAAAAGCAAAACAAUUUCAGUGGGAGGGGUGGGGUUCUUGUCUCAGGGCACGCCUUCCCCAGGCUUCUGAACCUAUUUUUAGCCAAUUUACAGGCCUGUUCAUGGAGACCCAGAAUUCAUCAGAGGGACCUCAGCAUCCUAUGGGAUUCUCAAGCCAUGCCACCCACAUUCUGUUCUCCUCAUCCUACUUCACUACCUGAAGCAUAUAUAAAAUUUUUUAAAGCUUUCCAAUAACGUGAUUUUAUACUAAAACAAAGCAUGUUAGCCAAAGCCCUGUGAAUCAUGUUAAGCACAUGGGCCAUGGGCCUGGGAGACUAGGUUCAACUCCCAGCUCACUCUUAUGACCCAUGUGGCCUCUGGUUAAGAAACUAAACAGAGGUACCUGGAUUUACCUUUUUAAAUAUAGGAUAUAACAGGACCUAUUCAUAGGUAUUCUAUGAGGCUGAAAUGGGUUAAUAUUUGCAAUGUGAUUAGCACAGCACCUGACAUAGCACAAACACGUUAUCAGUGUAUAUCAAAUAAUAAAAUAAAUGCUUGAUUAAUCA
rnacentral:lncRNA from 13 species